rnacentral:rRNA from 1 species
GCUCAAAUUUAAAAUCUGACAGUCUUUGGCUGUUCGAGUUGUAAUCUGGAGAAGCGUCUUCCGCGCUGGACCGUGUACAAGUCUCCUGGAACGGAGCGUCGCAGAGGGUGAGAAUCCCGUCUUUGACACGGACUACCAGUGCUUUGUGAUGCGCUCUCAAAGAGUCGAGUUGUUUGGGAAUGCAGCUCUAAAUGGGUGGUAAACUCCAUCUAAAGCUAAAUAUUGGCGAGAGACCGAUAGCGAACAAGUACCGUGAGGGAAAGAUGAAAAGCACUUUGGAAAGAGAGUUAAACAGUACGUGAAAUUGCUGAAAGGGAAACGCUUGAAGUCAGUCGCGUUUGCUAGGACUCAGCCUUGCCUCGGCUUGGUGCAUUUCCUAAUGAACGGGCCAGCAUCAUUUUUGGCUGCGGGAAAAAGGUCAGAGGAAUGUGGCACCUUCGGGUGUGUUAUAGCCUCUGGCUGUAUACCGUGGCUGGGAGUGAGGAACUCAGCAUGCCUUAAUGGCGGGGCUUCGGCCACCUUCGUGCUUAGGAUGCUGGCGUAAUGGCUUUAAACGACCCGUCUUGAAACACGGACCAAGGAGUCUAACAUGCCUGCGAGUGUUUGGGUGGAAAACCCGAGCGCGUAAUGAAAGUGAAAGUUGGGACCUCUGUCGUGGAGGGCACCGACGCCCGGACCUGAACUUCGGUGACGGCUCUGCGGUAGAGCAUGCAUGUUGGGACCCGAAAGAUGGUGAACUAUGCCUGAAUAGGGUGAAGCCAGAGGAAACUCUGGUGGAGGCUCGUAGCGAUUCCGACGUGCAAAUCGAUCGUCAAA